UUUUAUUGCCAGGCUUCACCUUUUACAUAAGUCUGAGAAUCGUUCAAGGAGCGCGGGUCUCAAGUAAGCUCUCAUCCUUGACAAACAAGAGUCUCAGACCACCAAGCCUGGUAAGUCGUCGUCCUCCUUAUCACUAUCAAACUUCUCACUGUCGGCUGCGUAGGUUCUGUUUUGGAGAGCUCUCUUCCUCAGCAUGUAGACGUUGAAGUAGUAGCUUACCAGGUCCUCCCGGCUCCUCCUUCCCGCGAAGGAAGCUUGGAGGUCCGGCCAAAACUUC
rnacentral:lncRNA from 1 species